CAGAAUGGUUCUCCUUGCAGCCCCAUUUCUCUGGCUGCUUAGUUUCUUUUUUGUGUUGUUGUUAAAAAAAACUUCUUUCACUCUUCAAAACUUCCCCAGAUUUUUGUUUUCACAUGCUUUUCCAGCAUGAAAAUGUUUCAUUACCCUUGGGUGGUCAUUGCUCUGUUUAUGUACCCUGCUUCUUUCUUAUUUCAAAAUGUGCCCUACGUGUCCACAGUACAUUAUUGAAGCUAUGCAUACUAAAAGGAUUUCUUGAAGUGCAAAGUCAUCUCUAGGCCAUUUGUUUUCCUAUUGGUUUUCUCACCUUUAAAGCAAAUUGGUAAAAUAAACUUCAGUCUUUCUUACCCUUGUUUCUUCCUAGGCUAGGGUCAGUAGUAUCAAGCUCGGCAUGAAUUACCAAGCCCUGAAAGUGAGACUAUAAUGGAAACUGCAAUUGAAGCACGCAGCGACAGCACUGCGGAUGGAAAGCUAUGAUACAGCCAUGGUCACCCCUCAGUGAGUUUCUGUUUUCCAGCUCCACAGACUCCCACCUCUCUCCUUGUCUCUUCCUUUGUGAACACAAAAGAGACACAAUGUAUUAGCCGUGAUCUGCAUGGAUCAGCUGCUUUUGAGUUUGACAAUUUUCUUGGAAAAAUGUCUUAAAAGCAAUUUGCCCAGCACAUGAUGGUCAUAGGAUUGCCAGCUGGGGAAGAGCAAGGUGAUCUCCCAUCUAAGCCCCCUCCCUGGUGCAGCAGGCUUUCCUUCCAGCGUCUCCGACAGAUGGCCAACUGGACUCUCCCUCAUUCCAAACAGAAAUAAGUCAUUGUAGGAAAAAAGUGAUUUUCCUGUAUCUUGGGUUCUGCAGUCUUUUCCACUGCAUUUUAAUCACACUUUCCCAGCAACAGGCAAUGUAAAGUGAAAGCAAAUAGGACACUGUAUUAAACAUACAUGCGCAAUAUGAAGUGAAAAUGUGGGGAGGCUGCCAGGCCUGACAAUGAGCCCUGGGCCUUUUACACGCGCCGGUCACCUGCUGUCUCGGAGCCGUGCCUCGGAGCCAGGUGUGAUGUGUGUGUCUGCAGGAAGCCCUAAAUCAGGGGGCAUGGUUAGGUUCUCUCCACUGCUGCCUUUAUUUCAGAAAGAGCCCAGCAGGUGAAGGCAAAGCUGCAACAGCUGAAAAUAGAACCCAGUAUGAUAGAAGGUCGAUUGUGGGUGGCAUAUUGGAAGCUUUGUGUCUUGCUGGUCUUAGGGAGCAGUGAAUUCUCUUUUCUGCCUGACUUUUUAAUCUGUCCUUUGGGAGAAGCUCUAACGAUCAGUCCUGGUCUGACACUGAGCCUCCCAGCCCAAGUCUGGCUCACGUUGGCUGCGGUUUCUGCUGCUUCUCCCCAGGAGCGGUGUGGUGGCGGGCAAGGAUCGCAGAGAACAGCUGUCCCACAGUAAACAAGGGUGGCUGAGAUCAAGGCCGAGCUGCAGCAUGUGGCGGGCCGUGGGGACCCAGCAGGGCUGCUGAAAAUUGAAUCCUUCCUCCUAGCUCCGACCCCAUCAAAUCUCAAUCCGGAGUUCUUCGGGAGUUUGAGCUCUUCACUUUUCUUUUGCUUUGUACACUUGCUUCUGAUUUUACCCAUGGUAAGCCCAAGAAGGCUGAGGAGCAAAGAAGUGAAUAUUUCGGGAGUUUGCCUACCUUAUGUUCACUGUUUAUUAUAUGCCACUGGGUCAGGGCAGUGAGACAUGAGGGUCAAUGUAUGUUUACUGGCUGCUGGAAAUGACGGAAACACGAACUCCAUGGCUGCAGCGGUGUGCUGUUUAAUCAUUCCCGCGCGCUGGUGUGGCCAGAGCAGCCUGCUGACUGGCCUCUACACAGUGCCCCUUUCGGGACCCUGUCAAUCCCACUGAGUGGUGCUUGCUUCAGGUUGCUCCACCUUCUGAGCAGGGCAAUUUUCUCCCUCAAAGUUUAUGGACAAACCUUGGUGUGCCAAGCACUCUUGUAGGUUCUUUGGAAAAUACCAAAAGCAACAGAAACACAAAUUAAUAGAGAGCUGUAAAUAUAACAAAUAAAAGUUUGCUCUGUCAUCCAGAGUGUGCUUGGUCUGUAGCAAUGGAUGUGCUACUCCUAUGCCGAGGGCACCUGGACAGGUGCUGUCAUGUGUUCAGGAAAUAAAAGUCUUCUUCAUAUUUUUCUCGCUUUUGUCCUGAGAGCAGUAGCUAUAAUUCUACAGGUCCUAGUUAGUAAAGUAAGUGACGCAGCUGUGAUAGAGAAACCACAGGGCUCUCAGGUAUCAAAAGCAAUGCUUGAAUUAGGCAAAGCCUUCAGUCCCAGACAUGACACGAACAUGCUGUGGUUUGGCCUAAGUGGCCAGGGUGGCACAUGUGGGGUCUGAGGGUGACUAUGAACUCGUGACUAUAACCAGGCUGCCAGCUCAGCCACUCUUUCAGGAAACAGUUGCGGAGCACUGACUGCCGGCCCGGUCCGGCUCCGGAGGCUGGAGAUGUAAGAAGAAGCAGCAGAGCGGAUUUUCUGUCCCUCAGUUCCCAGGACAGUGUGGCACAGUGGCUGAUGCUGGUGCCGAAGUCAGAGGAUCAGAGCUUCAGGCUGGGACAUAUCUGGAUCCUGCUGCAGCAAAUAUUCACAGUAUUUCUACAGACAGCCAGGACAGAGCUUUGAACAGGCGGUUCACCGAAUCCAGCAGUGUGCUGGUCCUGGCUUACCAACCAGCUGCUUGGAAAAGAGCAGAAGUCCUCAGUUACAGUUUUGGAGAGUUCAUGGUGGAAGGGCAAGACCCGUCUCUGGCGCUUCAGCAUGGGCGGAAGCAGAGGCCUUCGUUCUCUUAUCCCACUCCAGCGAGACUUCCCCCCGGACCUCAUCUGAGUCCAUCCUGCCUCGGUCAUCUGGGCUUCAGACAGAUCAUCAGACUAUAUCUGUCAAAGAUCUCAGUGAAUGUGGAAAGUGUCGUGAAAAUGAGAAGCCGUUCAAAACAAGCAGAACAGAAUAGGCUCCAGGGAGCCCACCUGGAAACCUGACACAUGUCCCCAUGAACUGAUGAUGCCUGUGUAUGAUGCCCACCCACCCUGUGAGGACAGAAAGGUCACUGGCUGCAAGGCAAGGAUGCAGGCAAGGGGGACACUGGAACUCAGUCAAGGAGGAAGAGUAAGCUUGCAGCCAACGGGGAGUCCUUCUGCCAAGAGGGCUGCUUACAUGGUGGUUGAACCCCAGCAGAGAGUCUGAGCUGGUUGCCAAAUGCCCAGGCAAUUAGGUUUGGGGUCAUUAGUAACCAGCCAAAGAAAAAGGCCCCUUCAUUUAAAAACUGUAAACUUCUGAAUAAACUCCAGUGCCACUCUGCUAAAGAAAAUGCUAACUCUAAUCAUCUGCCAAGUUCAGAGCGCCCAGAGUCAGAUCCCAAGAGGCAUGAGCACCAAUAGUGAGGGCCUUUCCUAUAAUGCCUUCUUCUCCUAGCACAGGCUUGGAAGCAAGGAUGCUGGGAGAAGGGAGGCAGAGUCAGGAGGGAGAGCAAAAGCAAGCCUCACAUCCCCUCCUGCCUAUUCCAGCACAUGAACCGUCCAGGUCUAAAGGGUUCAAGCUGGGGGAGAGGAAAAUUUGUGUUAAAGGGAAGUUGGAUAUGUUGAUGAUUUUUAUGCUGCUGGAUAUUUUAAUUGUUCAAAUAUAACUUCUUGGUACAGAGUAACUGGAAUCAUCAUGAAAAACAUGACAAACUUACAAUUAUGGUUUAAGAUCUCAUCCAAGCGACAAGAAGAAGCACAUUCUUAGAUUAGGUUUAAAGGCGAGAGAGAGGUUUAGAGAGAGAGAGAGAGGUUUAGAGAGAGAGAGAGAGAGCGAGAGAGAGAGAGAGCGAGAGAGGCUAUUGAGUUCACCCUGCUCAAUAUCAGCUGCCAUUUGCAAAGCGCUCAUGAGCUCACUGCUCUGUUAGGUGUCAGAAGUUGUUUCACAUUCACAGAAACCCUAGGAGAUGGGGAGCAUCAUUAUCUGCAUUUCACUGAUGAGGAAAUUGUAAGCCAGAGAGGGGAAAUAGUUGGCCAAAGUCACACAGCCAAUAUGUGGAGUAGCUGUUGUUUAUACCCAGGCAUGUAGCUCAGAAGAUCAUGCUCCUAAUCACACUGUGGUUCACUUCUCUGCAAACACAGUUACAAAAGAUGCAGAGAGACUUGUAGGAAAGGGGGUUUUGAGGAGGCACGUGGGACCAAGAGUCUGGAAGCAGAGCUGUGUGGGCAGAGGAUGCCAAGCAUCAGGCUUUGGAGCUCCAGGAGCUGAUGGGGGCUCCCUGGGCUGCUGUUGGGUUUCGCCCGAGGACUCUGGGAUGAGGGCUGCCAUAUCUGACCAGCAGAGAGAACACUCUCAGGGCUGGGCCCAGGUAGGGUCUUUCUUCUUGCAUCUUAUCUAAUCCCCCACCUUUUUGCUUCUGCUUUCACACCUGUUAUCUGGGAACCUCUCUUUCUUGCAUUACAAGGGCUAGUAUUAAAAAACAUUAUUGAUGGCUGCUAUCAAGAAAUCAACCAGUAACAAAUGCUGGUGGGGGUGU